AACACUGUUAACCUGCGGUACCUGCGGAAGGAUCAUUACAAGUGACCCCGGUUUACCACCGGGAUGUUCAUAACCCUUUGUUGUCCGACUCUGUUGCCUCCGGGGCGACCCUGCCUUCGGGCGGGGGCUCCGGGUGGACACUUCAAACUCUUGCGUAACUUUGCAGUCUGAGUAAACUUAAUUAAUAAAUUAAAACUUUCAACAACGGAUCU
rnacentral:misc_RNA from 1 species